AUUCUGCCCAUGCGGGAAAGGAUGAGAAGCUUCGACCAAGGUUCGACUCGAGCGCCAGCGAGAGAGCGUUGCCACAGGCAACGACCC
rnacentral:sRNA from 1 species